ensembl:lncRNA
AAAAUAUAUAUAUACAAACAAAAAUGCAUAUAAAUUGUGCAAAAUCUAUAUCUACGCUUCAGAUAAUACUCUUAAUAACAUUCAUGUCUCAGAGGUGAUGUUUAUGCACAUCAUACGAUUAUUCUUCAUGUUAAAAUAUCUCCAAUGUUUGCGUUUCUGAGGAAUGUAAUUAAAAUUUUCAGAGUUUCAUACAUUUCAUCUAUUUCUGACAUAUAUAUUGCUAUUUAUUUUUUUUUAUUAAUAAUGUUCAAUAAGAGAAGGCUUGCUCAGCUCAGUGCAAAUCCAACAGCGUUUUUUUUUUUUUUUUUUUUUUUUAAAGCUUCAUUUUUUUUAGCACCACAUACUGAAAUUUCAGAGUUGGAGUGUGACUUCUGUCUGCAGCAGAUUUUAGUGGAUUCCAGCAUUCACCUGCCGCACUCGGUUCUCUGUGAGCCAAACCGAUUUGGAGAGCAGGAUUCAGCCUCCAAUAAUCACUGGCACCUGAACUGAGCGUCUGGCAGAGCAGGCGAGUCCGCGGCCGCAGUCACAAAGUGCCAGAGUUUGGAAAGCGGAUCAUGUUCAUUUAUCAUCCCGCUCGUAAACUAAUUCACAAACAGCAAAACACCAAAACACCUCCCCGAGCUCGACAGCCGCCUGACGUUUUGCAGGUUGAUGAAAUUAGCUGGAAAAUGUCUGUUUGAUGGAGGUUUUAACUUGAAUUUUAAUGAGUUUUAAAGCCACAUAUUAACUACAAAGAGGCAAAAAACUACAUAAAGACAAAACCUGUAAAUAAGAGAUGAAAAAUAACUCAGGUACAGACUUAAAAUGACCACGAGAUGAAAAAUGAUGACAGAAAAAUGCACGAGAACUGCAACACAGAAAACAGCAUGGAAACAUAAAAUGACAACACAAAGGGUCAAAAUUACUAUAACAAAACACACAAUAGUAACAAAGAGACGCAAAAUGGCAACAAAGAGGGGAAAAAUGACGACAUAAAGUCUAUAACCAACCACAAAAGAGGCAAAAUAAUUACAAAAAGAUACAAAGCAGAAAAGAAGAGACAAAAA